CAUCUUGCACGUGCAGCACUGCAACCUGUUCCAACGGUGGUAGAUCAUUCAUAGCCGUAUUAGGCACAUGGGACCUGAGCGUUGCUUGCGUGGCAAGGAUAUCCAAGGCCGACAUUAAAUGGAUUGCACUUUGCGCACCUUGUUCAGUCUCCGUUGCCAUAAGGCGCGCGUGUUUAGCCGGCGUCGACAUCUGCAAUUUGAAAAGCUCGAUUGCUUAACUCGUCGAAACAAACAAACUGCAACGAAUGCGGACUGAAAUUACGAAUGACAAAUACAAAUAAUAAAAGGAUCUACGCACUUUACGAUGUUGUCGGUACCGAAAUGCAAACAAAUGUGAAUUGACAGUCGAAAUAAACCGGCGUAAGCGAUGAUACACACACAAA